AGAAAUAUAGGAGCUCCAGUGGCGCAAUUGGACAGCGCGCGGUACUUAUAUGGCAGUAUGUGUGCGAGUGAUGCCGAGGUUGUGAGUUCAAUCCUCACCUGGAGCAGUAUUUUC
ensembl:miRNA